CGAAGGUACCAUGCCUGCGGAAAUGCUUCAAAUUUUGAAUCUGUUUCUUUAUGUUUCUUAUUUGAAUUGCCGAUCAAAGGCAUUAUUUUCAUCCUGACAUUGCUGCAUAAGCCAAAAGAGUAUCAUCGAUAACAAAUAUACCUUAUGUGGUAUAAUGUAGAGGCACAAUCUCAUUAAUAUGGGACUUAAUGAAGAUUUUGUUGUGACGACGUACCACCUUGAUUUUCAUGCAUUGUCAGUGGUUUAUGGAGAAAUCUGAUAUACAAUGUAAAAGGAACAGAAGUAUAGUAACCAAAGUGCAAUUGCAAUAUCUUAGGUGUUGAUAGGUUUAGUGAUCUGAGUGGACACCUGAAUCUGUUAACUACUGUUAAUGCCGGUAGGCAUCUCUCAGUGGAAGGAGAAAACCCUUAUUUUUUUCUUGUUUUAGGGUGGAAAAAUGAAUCUUUGAGCUUUUUUUUUUUUGCCAGUAUAAGACAAAACCCUUUUUAUUUUUUUUCUUGUUUUUAGGCUUAGUGGGUGGACACCUGAAUCUGUGAGCUGUUUACCGGCUUAGUGGGUGGACACCUGAAUCUGUGAGCUGUUUGCCGGUAGGCAUCUCUCAGUGGAAGGAGAAAACCCUUUUUAUUUUUUUCUUGUUUUUAGGUUUAGUUGGUAGACACCUGAAUCUGAGAGCUGUUUACCGGGCAGCUCUCAGUGGAAGGAUCAGAAAACCUUUAUUUGAUUUUAGGCUUUAUAGUGGGUGGACACUGUGAGCUGUUUGCUGGUAGGCAUCUCAGUGGAAGGAGAAAACCCUUUUUUAUUUUUAUUUUAGGACUGAUUACAUCUAAAUAUUGCAAUUAUUGUUGUGUUUUUAUUUGAACUUGAUUAUUGACCAAAGUAUUAAGGAAAACUAGCCAUGCAAUAUGCAAUUUGAAUAGUUGGUUUGUAUUUAUUGUACAGUUUGGAUAUUCCCUUUCUCUUCUUACAGUUUUGGUCCUUCUGCCCUUUUUUCCUUAUCUUUUUUUCAGGUAUAAAUUGUUGCUGCUCAAGGAAAGAAGAAUGUGAAAGAAGUAUUGAAGAAGUGAGAAGACCAACAAGCCAUCCAAAAACAAAUGAUGUCUUGAUUGUUGAUAAAAAUGGUUACAAUUAAAAUGAAUGUAACUUUAAUAACAAAUUUGAUGAUACAAUGUGUAAAUAAACUAUAAAAUGAUAUAAUUAUCAUUGAAACAA